ACACAGCCUCUCACUGGCUGAACCGUGAGCGUCGGAGAGUCAGGCCUCCCCAAGGAACCUUCCUUGGAUCUGCUCCGAAGCCCUCCCAGGAGCCAGGCAGGUCCCCCUGCAUGGAAGACUAAUUUUUAGGGAUGGGGACCUGUGCGACCUGGGCUUCCACUCCUGUGAUGUGCUCAAAGGUGCUCAUCUUCUGAAGAAACGCCCCCUUAGGAUUUCUGUGCCUGGAAAAUACCCAUCAACAGACUGCUUUGAUAUCUUGUGUCUUAAAAUAAGAACAGACAGAAAAUGUUACAGCUGCUUACUUCCAUUAACUCAGCUGGAAACGCCGUUUGUGGAUCCGAGGGCACCUUUUCAGGGUUCGGGGCACGUCAGGCUCCUCUGGGGUUAGCGACUGUGGGACGCUCACCUGUAGCGCAGACGUGAACACAGGAGCCGGGAGCCCUUCUGUUUGGGAGGCCGAAGCAGGUCUCUUAGCCACGCUCUGCUUCUGACGUGGUGAAGAAAAGCGAAGUCAUUGUUUUAUCGUCGUAACCAUCACCGAGUGAAUGGGAACCCGUGCUGUUUCUAGCUUUUCCUUAUCUAGCUGAACUCUCACAACAAGCUUAUGUGGUAUAGACCCUGAUUUCACAGAUGAGGCAACUGAGAAUGGCGGGGGCUGCUGGACUAAGAGGACGUGAGCUUCCUUAGAUUAGUGGGAAAACAAGUCUUUAAAGAAGAUGUGACUUGCUUAAGGUCACCCUGCAGGUCAGAGUGUGGCUGAGGGUCCAGGGCCAAAGCUGGUCGUAAUUGUUUGCUCACGUGCUUAUUGAUGAAACCCUGAAACUCGGAGCCGAUUGAUGUUCAGAGUUCUGUGUAGCCACGCGGAGAUGAGCCCUUACCAUUUCUAUAAAGCACCAAGCGGCAAAGACUGACGCCUGGGAGCCUGGGCCUGGAAUCUCGCAAGGCAGGGCCUGAAUCCUGGGCUUGCCGUCCACAGGCUUUGUGUCCAAGAGCGAGACCUGUACCCUCGCAAAAUCUGUUCCUUCCCCUGGAAAAUGGAGAUAACGCCACCAGCCUUGUUAGGUGGCUGUGAACACUGAGAGAGCACAUGGCAUAGUGCUGGCACAGAACUAAGCCUUCCAGAAAUGGAUGCUGCUACUGUUUUCAGAGCACCUUCUCCAUCUGCUUCUCGGUUCAUUCAGACCUUCACCCGGAAAAGGCACUCCAGUGUUCUGAUCUGAUGAAACAGUGAACAUUUGUGAGGUGCUUUAAAAAUUACAGAUGUUUCUGUAUACUCCCGAGCACCACUGCAGGAUAGGAAUCUGCAUCUCCGCUCUCCAGAUCGGCAUUCUUAGGCUCGGCAAAAUCACAUGCUCCCCAGGAUCCUGUAGUUAGUCAACAGCACAGCCAGGACCUCAACUCAGAGCUGCAGCUCCGGACCCUGUGCUGAAUAACUUCAUUUGCUUCCUGUGAGGCAGCAUUUAUUAGAGGCAUGUACGUUAACAGAAAAGCACUUCCCACCCUGGGAUCCCAACCGGCCACAGCUGCAUCUUUAAUCUGGCCUAAAUAUUCAAGUUAGGACUCCUGUAUCCCGAUGUCUGUAACAUUUGGAAGCCACUGUCUUAAAGACGUGUCCUAGUCAGAUACGGUCUCCUCGGGUAUUUAAGCCCCAAGGGACGUUACCUUAAUCCGGUUUUCCUGCAAGAACAGACUGGCAUUUCACGUCAAGGGAAACACCGUGUCGCCACUGUUCUGCUUUUGCCACACUGGAGUUACCUGUGUGGUUUACGGAGUCACAUUUCAGGCUCUACCUUGCCUAUCAGAUCCGGAAGCAAAAAUCCAGAGAAGGGCAGCUUGCUCAAAAAGAGCAUCAAGUAUGGCAGGGCAGGUGGGAUUUUGAAAUGGAAACACAUUCCUGUGGCUUUUGGGCUGAGGGAGACGGAGGAAGGAUUUUGUUCCUGACAAGUGGUUCCCUUUGUGCUGGGGAUGGAGCAUUCAGCAGGGUUAAACGUGUGUUCCAUGUGUAAGUGGUGGGAACAAAUAACACGCCUUUCCAAUGAUGCAAUACCUUAAACAUGGCUGAGGGUUAAAAUAGGAGCACCCUGAGUUACAGAGAGUCAGCCCUGUCCAUCUCCUGGCCUGAACAUGCAGAACAGUGGGGUCGAUUGUUGGAGACGGAGGGCAGGAAGGCGUGGAAAGAUGCUGUCGUGACCGAGUAAGAUCUUUCCCUGCAGGUCAGUGUCGCUGACGGACUCGGCAGAGUAAGCAGAUGCCAGGUGCUGGGGCCCGUUUUCCCACGUGUGUCCUGGAAGGAGAAGGAACGAGCCCCUGAUUUUUUUUUCCACAUCCCUACUAGGGAACCAUGGGAUUUUUUUCCCCCUGUGUGAGUUUGAUAGCCACCCUGCCCACUCAGACCUCUUUGCAGGAAACCGGCCUCUUGCUUUAGAAGAUGAUACAAAAACAGAGGCCCAAACUCAGGAGCUCUAUUUCAGUGUAUUUUGUGGACGUCAUUUUAUAAUCGCCAACUAAGUACCUCUGGUUCCCACCAAGGGCUUGCCAGCUUCAAGGACAGAUACACUACAUGACUGAUUCUGGUGCUAAUUACUCUUUUUCUGCUAAAAAUGCCUCCUCAUUUGAAGAGCCAUAGAUGGGAAAGAAUAUAUCCACCUUUUUUCUGCUGAUUUUUUUGAAAAGGCGUAUUUAAAGGAUAAUACAGUACCAUCUGUUUGUUUCUGCUGAGGGAAGAGAACAGUAUGGUUGCAUGUGUAUUAUGUGUAUGCGUGUGCAGGUAUGUACAUGUGCAGAUGUGACCUUUACUUGAUGUAUGAGAUAUGUAUGACCUUAGAUAUAAGUAAAAGGAAGAAAGUCAUUCUUUAGGAAAAAAAUUUCCCCGUAACUGAAAUGUCAGUCAUUAGUUAAAAAUGAAAAAAAAUUAGGGUGUUCCUGUCAUGGCUCAGUGGUACAAACCUGACUCGUAUCCAUGAGGAUGUGGGUUCGACUCCUUGUUCUGUGGGUUAAGGACCCGGCAUUGCUGUGAGCUGUGGUGUAGGUCACAGACGUGGCUCAGAUCCCACGCUGGUAUGGCCGUGACAUAGGCCAGCAGCUACAGCUCUGAUUUGACCUCUAGCCUGGGAACUUCCAUAUGUCUCGGGUCUGGCCCUAAAAAUAAAUUAAUU
rnacentral:lncRNA from 1 species